GAUGAACGCUAGCGGGAGGCCUAACACAUGCAAGCCGAGCGGUAUUGUUUCUUCGGAAAUGAGAGAGCGGCGUACGGGUGCGUAACACGUGUGCAACCUGCCUUUAUCUGGGGGAUAGCCUUUCGAAAGGAAGAUUAAUACUCCAUAACAUAUUGAACGGCAUCGUUUAAUAUUGAAAGCUCCGGCGGAUAGAGAUGGGCACGCGCAAGAUUAGCUAGUUGGUGAGGUAACGGCUCACCAAGGCGAUGAUCUUUAGGGGGCCUGAGAGGGUGAUCCCCCACACUGGUACUGAGAAACGGACCAGACUCCUACGGGAGGCAGCAGUGAGGAAUAUUGGUCAAUGGGUGCAAGCCUGAACCAGCCAUCCCGCGUGAAGGACGACUGCCCUAUGGGUUGUAAACUUCUUUUGUAUAGGGAUAAACCUACCCUCGUGGGGGUAGCUGAAGGUACUAUACGAAUAAGCACCGGCUAACUACGUGCCAGCAGCCGCAGUAA
rnacentral:rRNA from 1 species